GAUGAACGCUGGCGGCGUGCCUAAUACAUGCAAGUCGAGCGAAGCGAGGACGGGUGAGUAACACGUGGAUAACCUCCUUUAAGUACGGGAUAACUUCGGGAAACAGGAGCAAAACCGGCUACUUAUAGAUGGCUCCGCGCUGCAUUAGCUAUGUGUUAAGGUAACGGCUUACAAAGGCAACGACGCAUAGCCGACCGGAGAGGUGGAUCGGCCACACGGGAACUGAGACACGGCCCAGACUCCUACGGGAGGCAGCAGUAGGGAAUCUUCCGCAAUGGGCGAAAGCCUGACGGAGCAACGCCGCGUGAGUGAAGAAGGUCUUCGGAUCGUAAAACUCUGUUAUUAGGGAAGCGGUACCUAAUCAGAAAGCCACGGCUAACUACGUGCCAGCAGCCGCGGUAAUAC
rnacentral:rRNA from 1 species